GGCGUGCUUAACACAUGCAAGUCGAACGGAAAGGCCCUGCUUUUGUGGGGUGCUCGAGUGGCGAACGGGUGAGUAACACGUGAGUAACCUGCCCUUGACUUUGGGAUAACUUCAGGAAACUGGGGCUAAUACCGGAUAGGAGCUCCUGCUGCAUGGUGGGGGUUGGAAAGUUUCGGCGGUUGGGGAUGGACUCGCGGCUUAUCAGCUUGUUGGUGGGGUAGUGGCUUACCAAGGCUUUGACGGGUAGCCGGCCUGAGAGGGUGACCGGCCACAUUGGGACUGAGAUACGGCCCAGACUCCUACGGGAGGCAGCAGUGGGGAAUAUUGCACAAUGGGCGGAAGCCUGAUGCAGCAACGCCGCGUGCGGGAUGACGGCCUUCGGGUUGUAAACCGCUUUCGCCUGUGACGAAGCGUGAGUGACGGUAAUGGGUAAAGAAGCACCGGCUAACUACGUGCCAGCAGCCGCGGUGAUACGUAGGGUGCGAGCGUUGUCCGGAUUUAUUGGGCGUAAAGGGCUCGUAGGUGGUUGAUCGCGUCGGAAGUGUAAUCUUGGGGCUUAACCCUGAGCGUGCUUUCGAUACGGGUUGACUUGAGGAAGGUAGGGGAGAAUGGAAUUCCUGGUGGAGCGGUGGAAUGCGCAGAUAUCAGGAGGAACACCAGUGGCGAAGGCGGUUCUCUGGGCCUUUCCUGACGCUGAGGAGCGAAAGCGUGGGGAGCGAACAGGCUUAGAUACCCUGGUAGUCCACGCUGUAAACGGUGGGUACUAGGUGUGGGGUCCAUUCCACGGGUUCCGUGCCGUAGCUAACGCUUUAAGUACCCCGCCUGGGGAGUACGGCCGCAAGGCUAAAACUCAAAGGAAUUGACGGGGCCCCGCACAAGCGGCGGAGCAUGCGGAUUAAUUCGAUGCAACGCGUAGAACCUUACCUGGGUUUGACAUGGAUCGGGAGUGCUCAGAGAUGGGUGUGCCUCUUUUGGGGUCGGUUCACAGGUGGUGCAUGGCUGUCGUCAGCUCGUGUCGUGAGAUGUUGGGUUAAGUCCCGCAACGAGCGCAACCCUUGUUCACUGUUGCCAGCACGUUAUGGUGGGGACUCAGUGGAGACCGCCGGGGUCAACUCGGAGGAAGGUGGGGAUGACGUCAAGUCAUCAUGCCCCUUAUGUCCAGGGCUUCACGCAUGCUACAAUGGCUGGUACAGAGAGUGGCGAGCCUGUGAGGGUGAGCGAAUCUCGGAAAGCCGGUCUCAGUUCGGAUUGGGGUCUGCAACUCGACCUCAUGAAGUCGGAGUCGCUAGUAAUCGCAGAUCAGCAACGCUGCGGUGAAUACGUUCCCGGGGCUUGUACACACCGCCCGUCAAGUCAUGAAAGUUGGUAACACCCGAAGCCGGUGGCCUAACCGUUGUGGGGGAGCCGUCGAAGGUGGGACUGGUGAUUAGGACUAA
rnacentral:rRNA from 1 species